GAACAGCUGCGCGCCCGCCUAGCGCUGCGAACCCGGAGUGAGAGGCGCUUCAGAGACUGGAGGGACGGACCUGCAGGAGCCAGGGCUGCCCGCCGAGCUGCAGUUGCCGCUACUGCCGCUGUCAGCGCCCGACUGAAGAGUGACAGCCGCAAAAGCAGGAGUGAGCACCGAACCCCGCGCUUCUACCUAACAGGUGCAUGCGCCGAUCUGAUCUCAGGUAACCAUUCAUGAGCCUGAGGCUGUGAGAAAUGCUCGCUGUGCAAAGGGGAACUCUCACCAGAUUUUCUGAAACUGUUCUAGAAAUACACUUUUCGGAUUGAUUCAGCAUUACCAGCUUAUCCAACAAAAGUAUUAACAUAUACAUUAACAACGUCGAAAGUAGCCUACUUUAAGAGAAAAUAUGCAGAAGAAGAAGAUUUACAUCAAGAUUACCAUGGGUAUUUUCCAAAACACCUGAUAUUACCUGAGGACAGAACUUGCAUUCUCAAACUUUCUCUGGAGAAGCUCAGGUUUCUUGAAGACCCAGAAACCUACUUAAGAAGGUCUGUGUUAAUUAACAAUUUGCUGAGGAAGAUACAUCUAGAGACGGAGAAAGAGAGCUAUGAAUACUUUAAAGAAGCUCCCUGUUAUAAGACUGCAUAUUCUGAUACAAGAAAACGGCUGAAGUUUAUGGUACAGGAAUGCUGUUCUCAGUCUCUCUAUUAUGAAGAGCUGCAUUCGUAUCAUAUUGUGCCUUAUGCUUCGGAGAAUGCCAUUUAUGAAAUGGGCUACACUAGCAGCCACUUGGAGCAAAAUUCUCAGUUGCUUAUUUAUAAAAUGAAUUAAAGUAACUGUUAAGUCCAUUGAUACUUUGUUUCUAAAUGCUUGAACUGUUUAUAGUGAAGAUGUUAAUAUAAGGCACUCAUUACCAGUGCACUUGAUAUCAAAGAUGAGAUGCAUGCUGAACUGAUUGGAGAGAGCAA
rnacentral:lncRNA from 1 species